ACCUUACACUCUGUGCCUGCGACUGUCAUCAUAGGUGAUAGGAAUGAAAGCAUUCCUAUCACCUAUGAUGAUAGUCAUAUCACCAAUGAUGAUAUCAU